AUCACCGCCUGGCGUGCGCGCUUAACACAUGCAAAGUCGAGCGAGAAAGGGGGCAACCCUGAGUAAAGCGGCGUACGGGUGAGUUACACACGUGGGUGAUCUACCUCUUAGUUGGGGAAUACCCCUGGGAAACCCGGGGACAAUACCCGCAUAAGCCUGAGAAGGGAAAGCAGCAAUGCGCUGAGAGAGGAGCCCCUGCGGGCACGAUUAGCUAGGUUGGUAGGGUAAAGGCCCACCAAGGCGAACGAUCGGUAGCCGGCCUGAGAGGGCACGCGGCCACACUGGCACUGAAACACGGGCCAGACUCCUACGAAGAGGCAGCAGUGGGGAAUCUUGCCACAAUGGAGGAAACCUCUGAUGCAUAGCGACGUCCGCGUGAGCGAUGAAGCCCUUCUGCGGUGUAAAGCUCUUUCGACGGGGACGAUAUGACGGUACCCGGAGAAGAAGCUGCGGCGCUAACUACGUGCCAGCAGCCGCGGUAAUACGUAGGCAGCGAGCGUUGUUCGGAAUUACUGGGCGUAAAGAGUGUGUAGGGCGGUGCUCUAAGUUCGGUGUGAAAUCUCCUGGCUUAACUGGGAGGGUGGCGCCGGAAACUGGAGUGCUCGAGCCGUGGGAGAGGAAAGCGGAAUUCCUGGUGUAGCGGGUGAAAUGCGUAGAUAUCAGGAGGAACACCUGCGGUGUAGACGGCUUUCUGGACCAUUGCUGACGCUGAGACACGAAAGCGUGGGUAGCAAACAGGAUUAGAUACCCUGGUAGUCCACGCCCUAACGAUGCAUACUUGGUGUCGGCCAUUCAGAUUGGUCGGUGCCGGAGCUAACGCGUUAAGUAUGCCGCCUGGGAGAUACGGUCGCAAGGCUGAAACUCAAAGGAAUUGACGGGGGCCCGCACAAGCGGUGGAGCAUGUGGUUUAAUUCGACGCAACGCGAAGAACCUUACCUGGGCUCGAAAUGCUGCAGACCGCUGGUUGGAAACACCGGCUUCCCCGCAAGGGGCUGUAGUAUAGGAUGCUGCAUGGCUGUCGUCAGCUCGUGUUCGUGAGAUGUUGGGUUAAGUCCCGCAACGAGCGCAACCCUUUGGUCCUGUGUUGCCAACUGAAAGGUGCACUCUCAGGAGACCGCCAGCGAUAAGUUGGAGGAAGUUGGGGAUGACGUCAAGUCUCAUGGCCUUUAUGUCCAGGGCUACACAUCGUGCUACAAUGGGCGGCUACAAAAGCGCUGCGAACCCGCGAGGGGGAGCUAAUCGCAAAAAAACCGCUCUCAGUUUCGGAUUGCAGGGCUGCAACUCGCCUGCCAUGAAGCUGGAAUCGCUAGUAAUUGGCAUAUCAGAACGAUGCCGUGAAUACGUUCCCGGGCCUUGUACACACCGCCCGUCACAUUCACGAAAGUGGGUUGUACUAGAAGCCCGCGCGCCAACUCGCAAGAGGGGUAUGCGGUCCAAGGUAUGACUCAUGAUUGGGUAG
rnacentral:rRNA from 1 species